rnacentral:piRNA from 1 species
GUCGCAGUCAGCCUAAGU